GAGAACUUUUUGGGAAAUAUAUAAGCUUGAAAAUCAAAAGAAUUCAAAUAAACAAAACAAUCAUAUGCGGAAUAUUGAAUAUUAAUAUUAGAAUGUUCUACAAAAUCAAAUGUGAUUUCUCAUCUUACCUUAAAUCUGAGAAUCAAUUCAAUUUGUUCAAUCGCAAUUUGAUUGAUAAAAUUCCUCCUAAUCUAAGAAUCGAUUCGAUUAUGCACUUUUUCCUGUUUUAUUAUUUUUUAUUUUUCGAUUUAUCUAAUGUUUUAUUCAAUAACAGUAAACAAUAUAUAAGGAAUGAUAGUGGCGAGAGGAAGGAGAAGACCUAAGAAGACGAGAGGAGAGUGAAGACAAUACCUGAAAUUGAAAAUGGCACGACGAGAGUAAAGAACACCUACACGCAGCGGCUGAAUUGAAACGAUUAGACUAAUACACAGUAAAAUUACCUGCAGAGAUCUAUAUUGAUUGGAGGUGAAUGACUCUUCCUUGCUAAUACACUUAAAUAUGGUAAUUUAAGCAAAAAUAUAUAAAAACAAAAAAUACCGAAGAGAAGAUCUAGAUUUAAAGCGUGAUUGAUUGGAUUUGGAGGUGGAGCUUGCUGUUCUUCGUCGUUUGGGAAAAGAUUGCUUUGGAGCAUUUGACGUGGGGAAUAAAAGAAAGCUCCUUUUAGGUUUUUGAUGAAUCAUUUGGACCGAUAGUGGGC
rnacentral:lncRNA from 1 species